rnacentral:rRNA from 1 species
UACAGAGGGUGCGAGCGUUGUCCGGAAUCACUGGGCGUAAAGGGCGCGUAGGUGGCGGCCCAAGUCCAUGGUGAAAGCUCGAUGCUCAACAUCGAGUCGGCCACGGAUACUGGGUUGCUCGAGCACUGUAGGGGCAGAUGGAAUUCCGGGUGUAGCGGUGGAAUGCGUAGACAUCCGGAAGAACACCGGUGGCGAAGGCGGUCUGCUGGGCAGUUGCUGACACUGAGGCGCGACAGCGUGGGGAGCAAACAGG